UACGUAGGGUGCAAGCGUUGUCCGGAAUUAUUGGGCGUAAAGAGCUCGUAGGCGGUUUGUUGCGUCGGCUGUGAAAUCCCGAGGCUCAACCUCGGGUCUGCAGUCGAUACGAGCAAACUAGAGUGUUGCAGGGGAGACUGGAAUUCCUGGUGUAGCGGUGAAAUGCGCAGAUAUCAGGAGGAACACCGGUGGCGAAGGCGGCAUCCUGGACCGACAUUGACGCUGAGGCGCGAAAGCCAGGGGAGCAAACGGG
rnacentral:rRNA from 1 species